rnacentral:rRNA from 1 species
GACUAAACAUAGCUCGAAGACUGACUCUCAGUAGAAUUAUCAAAACAAACUUAAAUAAAACAUUAAUUAAAAUAAAAGUAUAGGCGAUAGAAAUCUUACUCGGCGCUAUAGAAGAAGUACCGUAAGGGAAAACUGAAAGAAAAUUGUAAGUAUAAAAUAGCAAAGCUUAGUACUUGUACCUUUUGCAUAAUGACUCAACUAGAAAAUAUUAGCAAAGAGAACUGGAGUUAAGUGACCCGAAACCAGACGAGCUACCUAAUUAGCAGCUUAUAGAGCGAACCCGUCUAUGUAGCAAAAUAGUGGGAUGACUAUUAGGUAGAGGCGAUAGACCUAUCGAGCCUGGUGAUAGCUGGUUGUCCAGAAUAGAAUUUUAGUUCUAAUUUAAGUAUACCAAAAAAAUAAAUAAAUUAAAAUGUAGACUUAAAGAGUAGUCUAAAAGGGUACAGCUUUUUAGACUAGGGAUACAACCCUCAAUAGAGAGUAAGACAUAAAUAAAACCACAAUAGUUGGCCUAAAAGCAGCCAUCAAAUAAGAAAGCGUUCAAGCCCAACAGCAUUUAAAGUUAAUUCCAAUAACAAAACCAACACUCCUAACACGAAACUGGACUAAUCUAUUUAUAAAUAGAAGCAAUAAUGUUGACAUGAGUAACAAGAAAUAAUUCUCCCAGCACAUGUGUAUAUCAGAACGAAUAAAUCACUGAUAAUUAUCAAAAUAAGUACAACUAACAAACUAAACACUUGCCAUUACUUGUUAGUCCAACACAGGAGUGCAACUAAGGAAAGAUCUAAAAAAGUAAAAGGAACUCGGCAAACAUAAACCCCGCCUGUUUACCAAAAACAUCACCUCUAGCAUAAAAAGUAUUAGAGGCACUGCCUGCCCAGUGACUUUAGUUUAACGGCCGCGGUAUUCUGACCGUGCAAAGGUAGCAUAAUCACUUGUUCUCUAAAUAAGGACUUGUAUGAAAGGCCUCACGAGGGUUUUACUGUCUCUUACUUUAAAUCAGUGAAAUUGACAUUCUCGUGAAGAGGCGAGAAUUAAAAAAUAAGACGAGAAGACCCUAUGGAGCUUUAAUUAAUCAUCCUAUGAGCUAUAAAAUUAUUCUAUGAGAAAUAAAUAAACUUCAACUAGGCUGACAAUUUAGGUUGGGGUGACCUCGGAAUAAAGACUAACUCCCGAGAGAACUUUAUCAAGGCCCACUAGUCAAAAUUACUCCAUUAUAUAUUGACCCGCUACUUGGCGAUCAACGGAAUAAGUUACCCUAGGGAUAACAGCGCAAUCCUAUUUAAGAGUUCAUAUCGACAAUUAGGGUUUACGACCUCGAUGUUGGAUCAGGACAUCCCAAUGGUGUAGCAGCUAUUAAUGCGUUCGUUUGUUCAACGAUUAAAGUCCUACGUGAUCUGAGUUCAGACCGGAGCGAUCCAGGUCGGUUUCUAUCUAUUGACAGGUCCCUCCCAGUACGAAAGGACAAGAGAGACAGGGCCUACUUAAAAACAAGCGCCCUAAUAAGAUAAAUGAAUUAAUCUUAAUUUUACUCCACCAAUAUAUGCCCAAAAUAAGGGCCC